rnacentral:rRNA from 1 species
UACGUAGGGGGCUAGCGUUGUCCGGAAUCAUUGGGCGUAAAGAGCGUGUAGGCGGCCCGGUAAGUCCGCUGUGAAAGUCGGGGGCUCAACCCUCGAAAGCCGGUGGAUACUGUCGGGCUAGAGUGCGGAAGAGGCGAGUGGAAUUCCUGGUGUAGCGGUGGAAUGCGCAGAUAUCAGGAGGAACACCGAUAGCGAAGGCAGCUCGCUGGGACGGUACUGACGCUAAGGCGCGAAAGCGUGGGGAGCGAACAGG